rnacentral:lncRNA from 1 species
AAAAAACCAAAGCAGGUACCGUGCUAUUGAUUUUGUAUAUUCACAAGAGUCUUCUGGUUUGAUUAAUUUUUAUGAAUUGUAAUCAUCAGCUGGAGGUUUUGUUGUUUCUCACCCUUGUGAAUUAUGUAUUUUCAUUCUAAUUUUCUAAAUAGACGUGUAUUUUAUUUUAUGUGAUAGGUUGAGAAGAAUUCGCUGACUUCCGACAUAGAUUCUGGGAGCCAACACAAGAGACACAGGAGGGAUCGGAAGCUUUCUUAUAGGAGUAGUAAUCCUGAGGAGCAUAAAGAGACAGAACUUGGUGAUGAUGGAGAAGUUCGGUAAAUUUUUUGGUGCUAGUACUGCAUAUGCUUCCUUUCACCAUGUGAUUCUUCUCGUGUUCGUAUACUUGGAUUAUAAUUGCAACAAUUUUUUUUUUUGUUUCCAAAGUCUGUGUCUUGGAACCUGUAGAGCUCAAUGUCCACUAUUCAGAUAAUGGAGAUAACUUAUUAAUUAAACUUAGUUUAUUGGUAUAAAUUUAAACUCGUUUAAUGUUUAUGUUACGAAACUAUAGUAAGUAUAUAUAUUAAUGUUAUGAGAGUUUACAUUAGAUUUUUUAUAUUUAGUAGUGUCUAUAUGCAUAUUGUAUGUCUACAAGUGAGCAGGUCUCUUUCUGACCUGAAAUUAGUUACAAGACAGUAAUUUAGUAGAUCCAUAUAUGCAUUUGGUAAGUUAAAAUAUUGUUCAGUCUUAUUCAAUAUUGUGUACCAAACAUGACCUUAUCGUCUAAUUUUCCUAUGAAUAAAUGCUAGGGAAAUUUAUGACUUCAACAUAAGUAGUGCAGCUGUUAGAAAACCAUUUGGUUGAAGUUCCUUGGAGGUACCGGGCUGUUUGGAAUCAAUGUCUUCAUCUGAUACAACCGUGAACUUUAGAGUUUCACAUAUCUUCCAAGAAGGUAUCAAGAGAGCUGAUGCUUUGGCUUCUCAUGCGACACUACACGGGAGAUAAAAUUUCAACAUGGUGGAUUGUGGCGUCAAACUUGUGCUCCUCGCCCUUAGAGGAUGAGAGUGUUGUACUAUCUAUUGAUUAAGUUAAGGUGACGAGGACAUCACCUAUUUUGGGCCUUUACUUGGGUGUUAUUUAUUUUAUAUUAGUUUAAUUGGGUUGUAUUUAUGGGCUGGCCCAUGGCCGUUUUAUGCUUUAGGUUUGCUCACGUUUGUCUACAUAUAUAUAUGGAUGUGUACUGUAAUUUGUAGGGACGAUGAUGGAAUGAAAUGAGUGAUAUGCUUGAUGCACAAGUUUUAUUCUUUCUCCCUCUCCCCUGAGUUCUUCUUCCUUCCUGGUGUUGUUGCUCUGUUUCUUCUUCUCCUCCCUUUCUUGCUUCUUUUCCCCUUCUUUCCUAUCCCCCCCAAAUCUAUUCUACAUUAAAGUGGUAUCGAGGCUAAACUUGGGUCAACAAUCAAACUGAACACGACUGUCUGAUGAUCGACCCAAUGCACUACUCAAACACAACUGUCUAAUAACUCCAAGUGGUAUCUUCAUCAAAUUCCAAAAAAAAUUGCUAUCGUGUAACCUAUCUUUCUCAAAAUCAACCGUCUCCUCUCUGUCGGCGUCCCUUACGACAAUCCAUUCAUUCGCAAUACAGGUGACACUAGCCCUCCAUGGCGGCGAUCCAUCCAGUCACGAAAUCCAACGACACACCCAUCACCACUACCACGAUCCCUAAUCGAAAGAGAGAAGUGGUCUAUUUUCAAUUGGGUCGCUGCCUUUUGUUUGAGUUAGGGCCUCAUUUUGUAUUUUAUUUGGUUGGUGAGUAGUGUAAUAGAUUAGUAUUAAAAAAAAAAAAAAGAGUGAAAAGCGAAAAAAAAAAGGAAAAAAAAUAGAGAAGUCAAAAAAAAGUAUUUUCUAACAAUAUUUUCGCAGGUAUCUCUUUUUCUCCUGUUGAUCUGCUCAGUUACUUCAGAGAACAGAAGAGAAGUUAUUGUUUUUUAUUUAUCUUUGGUUUAUGUUACUGCUUUAUUUUAAAAUUGCAUCAAUAUCUUUUGUGUUCUGCUGUUAUUCCAAUUUUUACCUAAACUCACGUAAUUGGACUCAUUAACUUUGUUAAAUUUCACUUUUACCUCACUUAUUUUACAUCAUUAAGUUUUGACUAGUAUUUAACCCUUGUUUUACUAAUUUAAUUAUACCAGAAGUACUAGCUUGCUGUAUUUGGAUUUAUUUAAUCCCAAAUUUUAAAAUUAAGAGAAUAAGGGCUCAAGUUGUCAUUUUUCAUUGCUUUCACUUUUUAUUCAUUGAUCUCUCUAUUGCACGUCAUUUAGCUACUAAUACAAUACAUGCAUAGUGGUCUACUGGUCGUCUUGUCACUACUCGUUUCAGUACAUAAACAUGGACCUUUCACAAUUUGAUACACUCUCGAUAAAUAGCGGAUAUCCAAAUCCAAAUAACUGCUACUCUUAAAAGAGUAAGGCCCUCUCUGUUAAUUUGAACAAUUUUAAGCAAAUCACUCAUCCGAUCAACGUUGAUAAUUCUAAAGUAUCCCAUAAUAAACAUCGUCAUCCACGAGGAGAUCGAAAAUAUUUUCAAUAUGAUGGUAGUGAUAGGGAUCAAGUUCGUGGGAGAGAACGAGCCUAUGACCAUCACUGUACUCAUUCUCUUCCUCGUUAUAAGUAGAGUUUCUUUAGAGAUAUUAAAUUAGACACUCAUACUUUUGAUGGUUGCUUAGAUUUUGAAGUUUUUACUCAAUUGACUACUUUUAAACAAGGAAAUCAGUUAGUGACUGAGUAUAUUGCUCAAUUUGAGGGAUUUCGAAUGAACUGACAUGUUAUUGAGGAUGAGGUCCUGACUUUAAGUAGGUUUAUACAAGGUCUAAGAGAUGAAUUUAGACGUGAGCUUUUCCAUCAAGGCAUCGCUACUCUAGAUUAUGCUUACUCUUUAGCCUGAGAUUAUGAGUUAUUUAUUAGUGCUCCAUGUGAAAAUGCGAUCACUAUCGUCAACCAAUCUCGUCAUCGUUGCCUUUUCUUAAGUCUAUAAAAGGACUUUUCCCAUCCGAUAUUCCUCCUGUGUUGGAAAAUAAGGAUAAAUUUUUUGAAAUUCCAAGGGCAUCUUCUCACUUGCAAUGCUUCAACCGUAAAGACUUUUGUCACAUCUCUUCUGAAUGUCCUAGCCGAGUCUUAGUCAUUCAAGAACGAAAGAAUAUAAUAGAAGAGCGAGUAGAAUAUCAAAUCUAUGAACCUAAAGAAUUUGAUGACUUGGAUGAUAGUGAGAACGCCUCCAUAGAUAGUAUUCGGAUUUUUCUUAUGAAUCUAGGUAUUGUACCCCUUGUGUCCGAUAUCUCUCAGUCAAAUGUUGUGGGUCAUAAUCUUAUCAGACCCAAAGGUACUAAUGAUUUGUAUAAUCAUGCCAUUUUCAAGGAAAAUCUUGAAAAUUGGGAUUUGAUCAUCCAAACAGUGCAGAUUACAUAUAACAAAUUUGUGAAUUAUCACCAUAGGUACGAGUCCCGUUGAAGUUAUUCAUGGUUAUGAACCUAGGAAAACUUUAAACCUUAUUCUCAUGUCCCCAUGUGCUAAUGUGUCUAUCAGUUAAGGUAGUUGUGUCACAUCUUCAUAACUUGCAUAUUGAGAUCAAUAAAUAAUUUAAAGCAACUAAUGCAUUAUAUAUACUUCAAACUGAGUUGCAUAAGCAAAUUUUGAAUUUAAUAUUGAGGAUUAUGUUAUAUUGCAAGCUAGUAAUGCUAAUCCUUUUAAAAUUUUAAAAUAUAUUGGUCCAAAUGCAUAUGUCAAUAAUCUUUCAUCACAUUAUGACCACCACUCUAUUUUAAUUGUUAAGGACUUAGUUGUUACAAAGGCUAGUUGAACCCUUUUGAUGAUCAUUUUCUAUCUCCACCUUGGAGCUUCCACACCGAAUCUUCUGCUAUGUUUAUUCAAAUACCACAUGUUACACAAUUACAACACACAAUGAUAAAAUUGAUGUUAUUUUAGAUGAACAGAUUGUAUUGACCAAUGAUAGAGAAAUUCAAUGUUUUCUUGUUCGGUGGGUGGAUCGGCUUGAAUCUGACCCUAUAUAGAUUGUCAGAGAGAAGUUCCAACAAAUCUAGAUCAAACUUGAGUUUCGAUAUUUGGUUCUUCAAAAAGAUCGUCCGCCAUGAUUCUUAUGAUUUAUUCACUCGGCAGAGUCAAGUUUCUCCUCCCACCAUGGGAGAGUUGAUGAGGACAUCACCUAUUUUGCGCCUCUGCUUGCGCGUUAUUUAUUUUAUGUUUUAUUAUUUUAACUGGGUUGUAUUUAUGGGCUUGCCCAAGGCCCUUUCAUGCUUUAGGUUUGCUCGUGUUUGUCUACAUAUAUGGAUGUGUACUGUAACUUGAAGGGACG